rnacentral:tRNA from 1 species
GGGGAGUUAGCGCAGCUGGUAGCGUGCCGCGAUCGCACCGCGGAGGCCAGGAGUUCGAAUCUCCUACUCUCCA